UACAGAGGUGGCAAGCGUUGUUCGGAAUUACUGGGCGUAAAGGGCGCGUAGGCGGCCUACUAAGUCAGACGUGAAAUCCCCCGGCUUAACCUGGGAACUGCGUCUGAUACUGGAAGGCUUGAGUAUGGGAGAGGGAUGUAGAAUUCCAGGUGUAGCGGUGAAAUGCGUAGAUAUCUGGAGGAAUACCGGUGGCGAAGGCGGCAUCCUGGACCAUUUACUGACGCUGAGGCGCGAAAGCUAGGGGAGCAAACGGG
rnacentral:rRNA from 1 species